rnacentral:SRP_RNA from 1 species
GCCAGGCACGGUGACGCAUGCCUGUAGUCCCAGCUACUUGGGAGGCUGAGGUGAGAAGAUCACUUGAGCCCAGGGGUUCUGGGAUGUAGUGCGCUAUGCCGAUCGGGUAUCUGCACUAAGUUCAGCAUCAAUAUGGUAACCUCCCCGGAGCAGAGACCACCAGGUUGCCUAACGAGGGGUAAACCGGCCCAGGUCAGAAUCUGAGCAGGUCAAAAUUCCCAUGCUGAUCAGUAGUGGGAUUGCAUCUGUGAACAGCCACUGCAUUCCAGCCUGGGCAACAUAGCAAGACCCUGUCUCU